GGAUCCAACACUGCCACCUUCUGCUAACUCAGCGCCAAGAGCACUGUCAGAGCUGCUGGUAUAAGGCAAGACACCGCCGUGGAGGAAGGCAGUGCAGAGCUCACAUAGAAGCAGAGCCAUAACGUGUUGCACCUCCUCCCUGAAGUGCUUUGCAGCUGGAGAUGCCUGUUGCUUCUGGCUAUUGAGAUUCUGGCAUAUCGCAGGAGGACUGGUUAGGUUUGCAGUGAGGAUGCAGAUUACUGUGAUUACUGUGAAUGGUUUUGCUAAAUAAGGCUUGUCUAUUACUAAGUAGAAGCGCAGUUAGAAAGUGAUCCCAGCACAGUGUUUGCUGCUCAGGCGGUUGUGUCCAGCCAUCCACCAAGGGCUGCCCUCCAGCUCCUCCACAGAUUUGAAAUUCAAAUCGCUUGGAUGGCUCCUGCUGCUGUUAGGCAGCCAAAAACCUCAAAGCCCCAGCCCGCAUCCAUCCAUCUUUGAAAUUCUGAAGGGUGUAUUGGUGUGGGAAGGGGAAAGAACUACCCUGACCUAGCACUGCCAGGAGCUGUUACGUGCGGCGGGUGGGGCUGGGGUACUCGCUGCUCACUGUCCUCAGCUCACCUCCCUUGCAGGGCUGUGGAGCAUCAAUGACAGGCAAUGAGAGCUUAUUUUUGAACUGCUUGGGUAUUUGGGAGCUUAUUUUUGAACUUGCUGUGUAUUUGCCUGGGUUUUGCUGUGCAUUUGCAAUUUCUAGGCCAUCUUAUGGCUGCUUAGUGGAAGAUGUGACAUGGUGGUGCACGGUUUUCCUAUAAAAAAUUAAGAAGUCGGUGUAACUACAGCUGAGCGCGCUUGCUGGCCUAAGCCAGAUGCCAAAAGGUACUGAAGGGCAUGAAACUUAAACACAGGAAUUGGGCCGAAGUGCUGCUUUGGGACUUUGAAAAUGUGACUUAAAUUACUAAGCCACUUGGGCAUUACUGAACUCAUUCCCUUGGAGCUGUGUGAAUUCUGUCUGGCCAGAUUUGUAUUUCAUUUUCUGGCGGGGGUUGGAACGUGCAUUACCGUGACCAGGAAAAAGAGAAUUGCAUUAAGUAGUGAUGGGGGCACUGGGGCUAUUUUUCUUGCUGUAUGCCAGAAGGUGUUUGAAUAAAUUGACAGCAUAUUUU